rnacentral:rRNA from 1 species
UGGUGGAGUGAUUAGUCUGGUUAAUUCCGUUAACGAACGAGACCUUAACCUGCUAAGUAGUUACACGUAACCUCGGUUACGUGGGCAACUUCUUAGAGGGACUUUGCGUGUCUAACGCAAGGAAGUUUGAGGCAAUAACA